rnacentral:rRNA from 1 species
GAUCGCGGCGACGCGGGCGGUCCGCUGCCGACGACGUCGCGAGAAGUCCACUGAACCUUAUCAUUUAGAGGAAGGAGAAGUCGUAACAAGGUUUCCGUAGGUGAACCUGCGGAAGGAUCAUUGUCGCC